rnacentral:lncRNA from 1 species
CUCUCUUCUUCUUCUUCGGCUCCGGUUGAGAUAUAUGUUUUUCCUUAACAAUGUUAUUCGGUUGAGACAUAUUCUCAAGUAAGCUGGUGAAUAUGUCAUGAGAUAUUCAAGUAUGAUGUAAUGUUACUACUUCAACAAUUUAGAAAGAUUGCCACCUCUUAGAUUCACCAUCCACAGCUACCGAAAUCAUAUGAAUUAGGUCUCCCAACCAUAUCAGUGAUAAGCUCAAGGAACAAGGAGCUGAAACCUAGGUUCUCUCUCAAUUACCUAAAGCACCUGACUGAGAGUCUUCUACAAUUUCCUUAGUUAUGCUAUACUUAUCCGACAUGCCAGUUAAAUAACUCAAACAUAUGUAUCGAAAAAUGAAUAAAUUAACAGCACUAAUGCCCUAAGAUGUAUCUCAUAUCAUAACUUUGUUAGGCUACCAUCUUCAAUGCUUCAUGCCUGCUUCACAAUUCUCUCACAGCAGUGAUUGCCUAAACUACCCUUCCUCAUUGCGCCCCCUCCCUUCUGACCCCUCA